rnacentral:rRNA from 1 species
AUGGCGAAGGCAGGUCUCUGGGCCGUUACUGACGCUGAGGAGCGAAAGCGUGGGGAGCAAACAGGAUUAGAUACCCUGGUAGUCCACGCCGUAAACGGUGGAUGCUGGAUGUGGGGCCCGUUCCACGGGUUCCGUGUCGGAGCUAACGCGUUAAGCAUCCCGCCUGGGGAGUACGGCCGCAAGGCUAAAACUCAAAGAAAUUGACGGGGGCCCGCACAAGCGGCGGAGCAUGCGGAUUAAUUCGAUGCAACGCGAAGAACCUUACCUGGGCUUGACAUGUUCCCGACGAUCCCAGAGAUGGGGUUUCCCUUCGGGGCGGGUUCACAGGUGGUGCAUGGUCGUCGUCAGCUCGUGUCGUGAGAUGUUGGGUUAAGUCCCGCAACGAGCGCAACCCUCGCCCCGUGUUGCCAGCGGAUUAUGCCGGGAACUCACGGGGGACCGCCGGGGUUAACUCGGAGGAAGGUGGGGAUGACGUCAGAUCAUCAUGCCCCUUACGUCCAGGGCUUCACGCAUGCUACAAUGGCCGGUACAACGGGAUGCGACAGCGCGAGCUGGAGCGGAUCCCUGAAAACCGGUCUCAGUUCGGAUCGCAGUCUGCAACUCGACUGCGUGAAGGCGGAGUCGCUAGUAAUCGCGAAUCAGCAACGUCGCGGUGAAUGCGUUCCCGGGCCUUGUACACACCGCCCGUCAAGUCAUGAAAGUGGGCAGCACCCGAAGCCGGUGGCCUAACCCCUUGCGGGAGGGAGCCGUCUAAGGUGAGGCUCGUGAUUGGGACUAAGUCGUAACAAGGUAGCCGUACCGGAAGGUGCGGCUG